rnacentral:lncRNA from 1 species
CUGUAUUAUAUAAUCUUUAAGAACAUACUUUUUAAUAGUUACAUAAUGUUUUAUCACAUUUAUCUAUCAGAAUUUAACUGUCUCUUAUUUACAUAGUUUCUGAGCUGAUACUACAAUAAGCCUCUUUGUAUAAAAAUCUUUACUCAUGUCUCUACUAUGUCCUUCAGAUAAACUCGGUUAGGACUUGACACAUGAAUAUCCAGCAGCUGUGAUAGUAUGGAAGGGUCAUUCUAGCAGGGUCAGACUCAGACUGUUAUCCACGACUUCUAUAAUUUUCUAUCUGUAGAACAGACUGAAACACAACAUGCCAAACUCUGCAUAUGGCUUUCCUAUGGAAAUGAGAACACUGAGGUCUGAAGAUGAACAACAGAAAGCAACAGAAAAGUAUAUGCACUAGGUCUGCACAAACGCACACAAGAAUCCACCGUUUUACUAUAGAGGAUGUUACGGAAGGGCUCACCCGUGUCAUGUGAUGAUCCAGCCCUCCCCUAUUUUUAGUUUACUUUUUGCAACUCCUCCUCCAUCUAAACCUUGAAAAACUGCAGGAAGUGCAGAAGCAUCUUUUGAAAGUACCAUUCUGCCCGUUGCCACGAAGGAAUGGAGCCAAUGAUCCCCAGCAAGAGGCAUGAAAAUCCGAAUAAUCCCCAUUCUUUUCCAUUGAAGUUUUUGUAGCAGAUGAAGAGAAGACGAAGAAAACUUCAAGCACCCAUGUACAGAGGGACCCAUGGUCCAGCGUGCAGCGGCGGAGACGAGGGGAUGAGAAGACACCCACAAGAGGGGCAGCGCGUGUGGGGCAUCCGAGCACAGGGGCAGAGGGGGCAUCCGUGUAGGACACAGAGUUCGCGACCUCAUCUGUGAUCGAGAAAUCCCGGAAGCUGCGAAGACCCUGUCUUCACUGAACAUCAUUUGAAACAAAUUGAUAUUUUUGAAUCUUGGCAAUACUCCAGGGACAACAUUACCAGCAAUGAAAUUUCUUCCAAAAAUCCAGAGAAUGCAGUGAGAGACUAAUCUGGGCUCAGUUAAUUAUAUGUUUGUAAAGCACUCUGCGGGGUGUUUUUUUCCCUCACAUAUUUAUUUUUAACACAAACAUAUACACUCUGCUGACGGCAGUACAACCAUGGUCAUAGCCUCUAAACACCAUGAGAGUUUAUCACCUGCAUUUAUUUAUUGAGCAUUCAACAAGUAUUUACUGAGCGCCAGGCUGAGACACGCUUGACUCCUACCUUCAUGGAGCUUAAGUUCUAAUAAACGGCGUUCACUGAACUAUGUUCCA